rnacentral:tRNA from 1 species
GGGGAUGUAGUUCAGUGGUAGAGCGCAUGCUUUGCAUGUAUGAGGCCCUGUGUUCAAUCCCCGGCAUCUCCA